rnacentral:rRNA from 1 species
UACGUAGGGUGCGAGCGUUGUCCGGAAUUAUUGGGCGUAAAGAGCUUGUAGGCGGUCUGUCGCGUCUGCUGUGAAAAUCCGAGGCUCAACCCCGGACUUGCAGUGGGUACGGGCAGACUAGAGUGUGGUAGGGGAGACUGGAAUUCCUGGUGUAGCGGUGAAAUGCGCAGAUAUCAGGAGGAACACCGAUGGCGAAGGCAGGUCUCUGGGCCACUACUGACGCUGAGAAGCGAAAGCAUGGGGAGCGAACAGG